rnacentral:rRNA from 1 species
GACAGAGGUGCCAAGCGUUAGGCGGAAUCACUGGGCUUAAAGCGUGUGUAGGCGGGCGAUCAAGUACCUGUGAAAUCCCACGGCUCAACCGUGGAACUGCUGGGUAUACUGGUUGUCUUGAGCCAGCUAGGGGCGAGCGGAACAGACGGUGGAGCGGUGAAAUGCGUAGAUAUCGUCUGGAACGCCGAAGGUGAAAACAGCUCGCUGGGGCUGCGCUGACGCUGAGACACGAAAGCCAGGGGAGCGAACGGG